AAGAGAGCAGCAUCUGCCAUAUACAGUGGCUACAUCUUUGACUAUGAUUACUACCGGGACGACUUCUACGACAGGCUCUUCGACUACCGGGGCCGUCUGUCGCCCGUGCCAGUGCCCAGGGCGGUCCCUGUGAAGCGACCCCGGGUCACAGUCCCUUUGGUCCGGCGUGUCAAAACUAACGUACCCGUCAAGCUCUUUGCCCGCUCCACAGCUAUCACCACCAGCUCAGCCAAGAUCAAGUGUGAGUGACUGUAUCAUAUUCCUAAGUAAUUUGCAUUUUUAUCAUUAGCAAAAUAAUAGAAUCACAUUUUUUACAUUGGAACAUAGAUAAAACAACAAGUCUUCCACAGUUCUGCUGCUCUAACACAGCCAAGUAUUUUCAUGCAUUUCUAAGAGGAAACAGCUGAUGUUUUAGGAGGAGGGGUUGGGU
rnacentral:sRNA from 1 species